AUUGGCUAUCUCGGAGAGACAAAGCCAGUGGUUUUGAAGAGAAAGGGACGACUUGCCGUCUAGGCAUACCCAUCUCCAAAUUCAUCUCCCUUGAGAUCGAUUUGUAACUUCUCCUUCAGUCUCUACAGAGAAGAAAGAUUCUUGCUUAGCGUUUGAUUUUCUGCCAAAAGUCAUGCCGUCUCAAGAUUACAUGGACAAGCUGCAGGUCCGGCAAAACUACCGGAACCUGUGGCACACUGAUCUGAUGCACACCAUUCAAGCUGAUACUGGCUAUUGCUGCUUUGCCUUCUGGUGUGCACCAUGUGCUUCAUACUUGCUCCGUAAAAGAGCCCUUUACAAUGACAUGUCAAGAUAUGUCUGUUGUGCUGGUUACAUGCCAUGUAGUGGUAGAUGUGGAGAGAGUCGAUGCCCCGAGUUUUGUCUCUGCACCGAGGUUUUUCUCUGCUUCGGAAAUUCGGUGGCCUCCACUCGCUUUUGGUUGCAAGAUGAGUUCAACAUACAGACUACACAAUGUGACAAUUGUAUCAUAGGCUUUAUGUUCUGCCUCCAACAACUUGCCUGCAUAUUCUCAAUAGUUGCUAUGCUAGUUGGGAGUGAAGAAAUUUCAGAGGCUUCUCAGUUGCUAAACUUGUUGUCUGAUUUGGUUUAUUGCACGGUUUGUGCUUGCAUGCAGACACAACACAAGGUUGAGAUGGACAAACGAGAUGGCAUGUUUGGGGACCGACCCAUGGCCGUGCCUCCUGUUCAGCAGAUGUCCCGCAUUGAUCAGCCUAUUCCUCCCUCAGCCGGUUAUCCACCUCCGCCACCACCGCAGGGUUAUGGCUAUCCGCCUCCCCCUCAGGGUUAUCCUGCUCCUAAUUAUCCUCCCGCAGGUUAUCCUCCGCCUGGGUAUCCGCCUGCUGGCUAUCCAAAGUGAUCCAUUCCUCUGGCUUAAACAUUUAUAUACAGUUUCACUGAUUUCUCGUGAGUGCAUACUAGGUUCGGGUAUUUUGUUUCAGCGUUGUUUUCUUGCGGUCUCUUAAUGAAGCAGUGUACACCCAGGAUUGUGUGGGUUUUGCUGUUUCAUCUUGUUCAGACUUGUGAUCUGGAUGCCUUUUCUUCUUGUCUGUCUACGAACCAUAACAUAUGCAUGAGAAGGACCCUUCUACUAUAUUAGAACA